UACGUAGGGCGCAAGCGUUGUCCGGAAUUAUUGGGCGUAAAGAGCUCGUAGGUGGUUCGGUAAGUCGGAUGUGAAAUCUCCAGGCUCAACCUGGAGGGGUCAUUCGAUACUGCCGUGACUAGAGGUCGGUAGGGGAGUGUGGAAUUCCUGGUGGAGCGGUGAAAUGCGCAGAUAUCAGGAGGAACACCCGUAGCGAAGGCGGCACUCUGGGCCGAUACUGACACUGAGGAGCGAAAGCGUGGGGAGCGAACAGG
rnacentral:rRNA from 1 species